CAUUUGAGCAGACGGUGAUGGGAUGUGUCUGUGCAAAACAUCUUAAGUAAUGACAGGCCAAAUAUAUGCAUGUUUUGAGCUUAGAGUUCCUCACCUUUAUGUAAUGUUGCUAACAGUCCUUUGACACUUCAAUGUUUUUCUCAACCAGACUGAGAUGAGGUCUUGUUUUACAAACAACUAAUCUUAUAUCACUCCUAGCAACAAGAAAGUGCCAUGGCAAACUCCACAACAGAGAUGGAUGGAAGACUUCAUAUUCCAUCUAAGCCUCAGAGACUUUUCUCAGGUCAGUCUUAGUAAUUAUUUGUCUGAAUUUCACAUUGAUUACCGGACUAUGGCAGAGCUUCAGAGUCUCCAUUUAUCUCCUCUAAGCCCCUUAUGCAGGCUGGACUGAUAUAUUUUUCCUAAUUUUCUCUCACCUCAGUGCCACUUGGUUUUGACUUGCACCUAUAUGGAGUAAGGAGCUUGUGCUGACAAAGCCCCAUCACCCUUACUUCACGGUGGAAGGAUGUUCAGCAUGCUUUCAUAUCUAGUUUGGAAAAGUGCUUGCGAACAUGAGCCAAGUCACUGAUAAUGCAGAGCAUGGACUUAAUCAGCAAGAGUGCAAACUCCACUUUACAGUUUCAUCGCUCCCUUACCUGUGCUGUGCUUCAGUCUCUGAUUAGGGAAGGGGAAGGAGCUAAUGAAGUCUCAUGAGCGCUGAGGUUGUUAAAGCACUUUGCAAUCCUUGUUCUGAAAGUGGCACUGGUGUACAGAAUUAUCAGUACAGCAUAAUUCCCCACGCAUCACUAAAAUCAGCUCCAGGACUAGGGCACUAAGACAUGUAAGACUGAGAUAUUGGAGGCUUCUUUCACUACUCACCAGCUCAAGGCAGAUUGCUGAAUAAAUGUUAGAAGGAAAAAAACCUCCUCAGCCGAAGUUCUGGAAACUGACUAAAUUCAUUUUUCCCUACGAACUGUCUGAGGAAAAUGAAGUUGUACCCAUUAGCAACACUGAGAUUUCUACAAAUUGGGAUUCUCUGACUACCUUGUAAAUGUAGAAAGGUUGGGGUUAGAGAAUAGAAGUGGAAAAUGGAGAUGAGAUUACUGUAAAUUGCGUGCUAGUGUCAAGUGCACAAAUGGGCUGAAGUAAGAAGUGGCAGAGUUUCUGCAAGCCCUUGAAGCAUUUUUCAACUGAGACAACAGCUGUGUAAACCAUUUCACAGUGGCUUCUAAGCUCUAGCAAGUAUUAUAUUACAUACUGGGAGAAGAAAUGUUUUCCAAGAAUGAAUUGGGGCACGACAGACACUUCUUGAAAGGAAUACCGUGCAUAGAAGGA
rnacentral:lncRNA from 1 species